AUUAUUAUACCACGUUGAAAACAUUGGUUCUCAUCAGAUCCCUGAAGUUAAGCAACGACAUGCCUGGCCAAAAACUUCUGAGGGUGAUUACCUAGAAAUACUGGGUACUGUAGUUU